rnacentral:rRNA from 1 species
AGAGUUUGAUCCUGGCUCAGGAUGAACGCUGGCGGCGUGCUUAACACAUGCAAGUCGAACGAUCCUUCGGGAUAGUGGCGGACGGGUGAGUAACGCGUGGGAAUCUGCCCUCAGGAGGGGGAUAACGGCUGGAAACGGCCGCUAAUACCCCAUAUGCCGAGAGGUGAAAUGAAUUUCGCCUGAGGAUGAGCCCGCGUCUGAUUAGCUAGUUGGUGGGGUAAAGGCCUACCAAGGCAACGAUCAGUAGCUGGUCUGAGAGGAUGAUCAGCCACACUGGGACUGAGACACGGCCCAGGCUCCUACGGGAGGCAGCAGUGGGGAAUUUUCCGCAAUGGGCGAAAGCCUGACGGAGCAACGCCGCGUGAGGGAUGAAGGCCUCUGGGCUGUAAACCUCUUUUCUCAAGGAAGAAGACCUGACGGUACUUGAGGAAUAAGCCACGGCUAAUUCCGUGCCAGCAGCCGCGGUAAUACGGGAGUGGCAAGCGUUAUCCGGAAUUAUGGGGCGUAAAGCGUCCGCAGGCGGCCUUGUAAGUCUGUUGUUAAAGCGUGGAGCUCAACUCCAUUUAAGCAAUGGAAACUACAAGGCUGGAGUGUGGUAGGGGCAGAGGGAAUUCCCGGUGUAGCGGUGAAAUGCGUAGAUAUCGGGAAGAACACCAGUGGCGAAGGCGCUCUGCUGGGCCAUAACUGACGCUCAUGGACGAAAGCCAGGGGAGCGAAAGGGAUUAGAUACCCCUGUAGUCCUGGCCGUAAACGAUGAACACUAGGUGUCGGGGGAAUCGACCCCCUCGGUGUCGUAGCCAACGCGUUAAGUGUUCCGCCUGGGGAGUACGCACGCAAGUGUGAAACUCAAAGGAAUUGACGGGGGCCCGCACAAGCGGUGGAGUAUGUGGUUUAAUUCGAUGCAACGCGAAGAACCUUACCAGGGUUUGACAUCCUGCGAACCCCUGAGAAAUCGGGGGGUGCCUUCGGGAGCGCAGAGACAGGUGGUGCAUGGCUGUCGUCAGCUCGUGUCGUGAGAUGUUGGGUUAAGUCCCGCAACGAGCGCAACCCACGUCUUUAGUUGCCAGCAUUCAGUUGGGCACUCUAGGGAGACCGCCGGUGAUAAACCGGAGGAAGGUGUGGAUGACGUCAAGUCAUCAUGCCCCUUACAUCCUGGGCUACACACGUACUACAAUGCUACGGACAAAGGGCAGCAAGCUCGCGAGAGUUAGCAAAUCCCAUAAACCGUGGCUCAGUUCAGAUCGUAGGCUGCAACUCGCCUACGUGAAGGAGGAAUCGCUAGUAAUCGCAGGUCAGCAUACUGCGGUGAAUACGUUCCCGGGCCUUGUACACACCGCCCGUCACACCAUGGAAGUUGGCCAUGCCCGAAGUCGUUACUCCAACCCUUGUGGAGGAGGACGCCGAAGGUGGGGCUGGUGACUGGGGUGAAGUCGUAACAAGGUA